rnacentral:rRNA from 1 species
UACGUAGGGUGCAAGCGUUGCUCGGAAUCAUUGGGCGUAAAGAGCGUGUAGGUGGCUAGGUAAGUCGGAUGUGAAAUCCCUCGGCCCAACCGAGGAAGUGCAUUCGAAACUACUUAGCUCGAGGACGACAGAGGAAGGUGGAAUUCCUAGUGUAGAGGUGAAAUUCGUAGAUAUUAGGAGGAAUACCGGUGGCGAAGGCGGCCUUCUGGAUCGUUCCUGACACUGAGACGCGAAAGCGUGGGUAGCAAACAGG